CCCCUCUCUGGGACGCACCUGGAGAAUUUCCAGGACUCUACCAGUCUCGACCAAAGGAGGGAAAGUCAAGCAGAGGCCUGCCCAUUCCAUUCCUAGCUCGGGCAAUGGCUAGCGAGUGGAAGGCAAUCUGCUACAAGU